UUGAGGUCAGGGCUCAUAGAAGGCCACUUUAGAAUAGUCCAAUGUUUUCCUCGUAGCCAUUCUUGGGUGUUUUUAGCUGUGUGUUUUGGGUCAUUGUCCCGUUGCAAGACCCAUGACCUGCGACUGAGACCAAGCUUUCUGACACUGGCCAGCACAUUUCUCUCUAGAAUCCCUUGAUAGUCUUGAGAUUUCAUUGUACCCUGCACAGAUUCAAGACACCCUGUGCCAGAUGCAGCAAAGCAGCCCCAGAACAUAACAGAGCCUCCUCCAUGUUUCACAGAAGGGACAGUGUUCUUUUCUUGAUAUCCUUCAUUUUUCUGUCUGUGAACAUAGAGCUGAUGUGCCUUGGCAAAAAGUUCAAUUUUUGUCUCAUCUGUCCAUAGGACAUUCUCCCAGAAUCUUUGUGGCUUGUCCACAUGUAGUUUGGCAAAUUCCAGUCUGGCUUUUUUAUGACUUGUUUUCAACAAUGGUGUCCUCCUUGGUCGUCUCCCAUGAAGUCCACUUUGGCUCAAACAACGACGGAUGGUGCGAUCUGACACUGAUGUUCCUUGAGCUUGAAGUUCACCUUGGAUCUCUUUAGAAGUUUUUCUGGGCUCUUUUGUUACCAUUCGUAUUAUCCGUCUCUUUGAUUUGUCAUCAAUUUUCCUCCUGCGGCCACGUCCAGGGAGGUUGGCUACAGUCCCAUGGAUCUUAAAUUUCUGAAUAAUAUGUGCAACUGUAGUCACAGGAACAUCAAGCUGCUUCGAGAUGGUCUUAUAGCCUUUACCUUUGACAUGCUUGUCUAUAAUUUUCUUUCUAAUCUCCUGAGACAACUCUUUCCUUCGCUUCCUCUGGUCCAUGUUGAGUGUGGUACACACCAUGUCACCAAACAACACAGUGACUACCUGGAGCCCUAUAUAUAGGUCCACUGACUGAUUACAAGAUUGUAGACACCUGUGAUGCUAAUUAGUGGACACACCUUGGAUUAACAUGUCCCUUUGGUCACAUUAUUUUCAGUCUUUUCUAGGGGUACCAUCAUUUUUGUCCAGGCCUGUUUCAUGAGUUUUUUUUUUUUUAUUAAUUCUGUUGAAGCAUGGUUGAAAAUCAAUGUCUGACUUUUAUUAGUUAAAUUUCAUAGAAUUUUAAUUUAUUAUUACUUUUGUCAGAUUAAAGUUAUUUCUGUGACCAUUGUGAGCUUUUCUUUCAUUGACUGAAGGGUACCAACAAUUUUGUCCACGUGUGUACUUUGCCAAACUGCAGACUUUACCAAAUUGAUAAAUGAACACUACACAGAAAUCCAGACGAGCUACACUCGCAAUGCCAUGUGAAAUGCCAGCAUUAUUAAACAGAGAAUUGAGUAAAGCGUGAGUGCAUGUACACAUACCGAACUAGAUUUCCCUAUGGACAUAACAUUGCCGGUAGAUGUGUUUUAUCCCCGAUAUCAGCUGUUGAAUUUAAUAGCGGACUUCGGGGUCAAUCAGAGUCCCGCGAGCUUUCAGGAUGUCACCAAGUGUCUGGGCAGGGAGAAACAGGGGCAACCUGAUCCAUCACAAAGUCUUUGCCUUAGUAAGACGUCUACAAAAGUCAGGGACUCACCUGCCUACUGCACAACUCCAUGAAAAUAUACAUGAACAGAUCGUCUUCAAAAGAAUGGGAGAAGCCCACAACGUUCUUGUGCCGUGGUUUUUUUCAAAAUUUCCACUUCUUGACACACCUGAGUGAAAUAUCAAACACACCAUCUCAUCAAGUACUGUAACAGGGAAAUGCAGAUAAACUGCAAAGAGGGAUGACAUUAAGCACAAUCCAUACCACAUACCUCCUCCAGUCCCCAGGAAUGUGGAGGUAUGACCAUCACAGCAAAGGUGUCACCACUUUCAAGGUCGGUCAUCUUGUAGCACUUGCCACAAGCACCCUAAAGAACAUGUCAAUAAAGGGCAUUUCUGACUGACCCUGUUCAAGCAUCUCCUCUCCGCAGAAAAAGAUCAACUGUAAUCACUUUCAACAACAACUUUGUGGUGCACACCUGUCCCAAAAGCGGCCAAGACAGCUGGGCAAUUUGAACUUGCUAGAUGGAUUACAUCACCACAUUGAAAAUUCCAUGGACGGAAAAAGAGGUGAACUUGCUAAGACAUUGCAACAAAACACGGAUAAAAACUUUCAUUACAAUCAACUUCAUUGAAGAAAAAAAAAACCCAUCUCCGUUUUGUACACCAAACAUUCAGUUUCGGUAAUGCAGUAACACAUGCUCAGGAAUAAAGACUUUUAUGUAGUGUGCAGUGACAUCAUAUGUUACUGCGGCUCUUUAGGCACUCAGCUAUCGGUCUCACUUUGUCAUACAGAACAGGGAUUCAUUUCCUGGUGAAAAACUUCCUAUGUGGUAUGUGAUACCUCAGCUCCAAGAUGUGGAGCAGUUAUCUAUUACACCGUAAGGCUGGAUAUUUUUACAAAUAAAGGCAGCAAUGGUGUCGGUUAUUGCCUUAGAACGAGCUGUUAGCUGGCAGGGUGUGAAAAUUAGGGCGUUUAUUUUUUUUAAAGAGUUUUGUGUUAUUUGAAAGCAUUGUGAAAUGUAAAAAAAAAAACAGUAAUGAUAUGAUGAAAAUGGGAAUACUGACGUUGACAAUGCCAAUAUAAUAUUUUGGUAUGUUAAGGCAUGUUUGUUCUCUGCUUUAAAGAAAGGGGGAUGUGUUGAUAUGUAGUGCAGUACCUUUGGUGACCAGCAGAGAGACCUGGAGGGUUGGGAGGAGGUAAAGACAAGGGGUAGGGAGACCGACGGCACAGAGCAGGUUGUGGGUUUGCAUGGAAGAUGUUGGUGGUUAAAUAAAAGUUCAUUGUUCAUGAAACAAGGUCUCUUCAAUGACAUAUGAACAACACAAUGUAUCUCUUCCUUCUCAUGAUAAUCUGACUCGCCAAACAUGCCUCCAGCUCGCGUGACGUGGCCGAGAGACUUGAGGAGAAUUAGACACUGACAGCAGUGGAGAUGAGAGCGCACUUGAAAUUAUCAGGUAAGAGAGGGUUAAUCGAGCAAAAUGUACAAUUAUUGGUCAGAAAAUGUCGGUCAAAUUUCUAAAUAAUUAUGGCGUACGAAUAAUGAUAUAUCCGUAAAUCGUAUUUUACCGAUUUAAAGAUGUUCAUUAUUCAUUGUAUUGUCACGCCCCCCUCGGGAGAAUGCAGCGGCAGCAGCCACACCUGAGUUACGUCAACUCCCUGUUUAGUUCUGCUUGGCGCUGCAUUACAUGCAAGGUAUUGUUGAGGGUUUUCAUAAGAAGUACAGGGCGGUCUUCCUCCUGUCUACCCCGAUCCGGUCCAUCCGCCUGCUUUGCUGCCAUUCCAUCCCAUACCAUCCUGAUCCACCCGGACCUCUCUCUUGUACUUGUCCCGCGUCUCGCAUGCCACCUGUAGAACUGGCUUUUGGACUCCGAUUGUACUUGCUGAUUCCAGUUCUGUUUGCGUGUUCCCAACAAUAAACCCCGUACGGUACGUUGCCUUCUGUGUCUCUACCAUCCUCCGGGGUUGCAUGUUGUGCAGUACUGUAGUAGCUUGGAUUCAACCAUUAGAUGGCAGUAGUAGCAUAUAGUUGGAGGGAAGUAGAAGAAGGCAACAGAGGGAAGUUGAGUGUUUGUGCGUUGUUCCCGGAGCUGAUAAGUUAAUAAAUAUUGAACCUCUUGCCAUCCCCAAAUGUGUCUCGGCUGACUCUCAAUAUAUCAAAAGUACAUACCGUCUAUUUAUUUAUGUCUGCCCUUCAAACCGCUAGAUUCCUUCAAUAAGCAGGAAGUUUGUCACGACAGCUGACACCAAAUCUCCUGCUGAGCUGGUUCAGACAGAACUAUCCUCAAUUCACCACGAGGGGGCGCCAACUGAGCAGCUUAGUUCUAUUGUCUCUCUUUUUCAAAGACAGUUUUUCUCUUCACAAAAGGACAACUUAACUGAAUAAUGCACUUUCAUAGUAAUUGUUUUUAAUCUGUGUUAAUGUUCUGAACAAUGACUACUAAAGGUUCUGUAAGGUUGUCCCACAUACUGUGGAUUUUAAGUUUUUUAUCAAGGUGUUAAAACGUACCAUCUAUUUUCUGCUGAAAGUUGCCAGUCCUGUGUUUUAUGUCUAGCAAUUUGUACAGUUUCUUCAGUAUGGCACAUAAACACAUAUCAUCUACAGUAUGAGAAUCUCCUCCAGAACUCUGCAUUUCCUCAAGAUUUUUUUUGUAAUAUUACAUAGGUGCAUCUCAUGAACCUUAAUUUGCCAAGCAUGUAUUGACUGGGCACAGUACAGUGGUGCAAUUUCUGACAAUGAAAGAACAUCAUGGACCCCUACUCCCCAUUCCUUAACCCGAUCGAGGGGCUCUGCUCAGCAUGGAGUUAGAAGGCUUACGAUCGCCAGCCACAUGCUCAGAUGGCCCUGCUGGCUGACAUGGAUGCAGCAUGUGAGGACAUUACAGCAGAUGCCUGCAGAGGCAGACACUUCACUGGCUGUGGAUGUUGUUCAGCCCAGAUACCUGAUGAGGGUCCAGCAUGGAGACAGUGUGACCCUGACAUGCUUCCGUCCAGAAGAUAUUUCUUUUGCAGUUUGGUUUUAGCAAGCUGUUGGUCAGGUCAGAAGCCCCAGCUCAUGGCGAAAGCACUUCUCUAUGUACCUGGUGAAUUUUACAAGGAAUAUAAAAACAUAAAACGUUACUCCUUACUGAAUGCAGAGGGGAGUUUUAACCUCACUAUUUCUAACGUGGAGCCGUCAGAUUCUGCAGUGUAUUAUUGCGCUGCUCUGUUAUAUAAUGAAAUCGCAUUUGGAAAUGGAACCUUUGUCAUAAUCACAGAUAAAUGAGAUUCCAACUAUUUUCAUAUUUGCUUUAUUAAAGUGUCAGUAAUAUUGUCCUUUGACAAACAUUUUUGACAGUUGAGCUCUGUAUCAAUAUAAAAUUAACAAAGAUAGUUGA